AAAAUCCGUUGGCUUUAUUGGCCGUGAGGGUUCAAGUCCCUCUACCCCCA
rnacentral:tRNA from 1 species